rnacentral:rRNA from 1 species
GAUGAACGCUGGCGGCGUGCCUAAUACAUGCAAGUCGAGCGAAUGGAUUAAGAGCUUGCUCUUAUGAAGUUAGCGGCGGACGGGUGAGUAACACGUGGGUAACCUGCCCAUAAGACUGGGAUAACUCCGGGAAACCGGGGCUAAUACCGGAUAACAUUUUGAACCGCAUGGUUCGAAAUUGAAAGGCGGCUUCGGCUGUCACUUAUGGAUGGACCCGCGUCGCAUUAGCUAGUUGGUGAGGUAACGGCUCACCAAGGCAACGCUGCGUAGCCGAGCUGGGAGGGUGACCGGACACACUGGGACUGAGACACGGCCCAGAAUCCUACGGGAGGGAGCAGUAGGGAAUCUUCCGCAAUGGACGAAAGUCUGACGGAGCAACGCCGCGUGAGUGAGGAAGGCUUGCGGGUCGUAAAACUCUGUUGUUAGGGAAGAACAAGUGCUAGUUGAAUAAGCUGGCACCUUGACGGUACCUAACCAGAAAGCCACGGCUAACUACGUGCCAGCAGCCGCGGUAA